GCGGAUAACUCAGUGGUAGAGCACUUGCCUAGCAUGUGUGAGGUCCUGGGUUCAAUACCCAGCACUACA
rnacentral:tRNA from 1 species